AGCCGGGUGGUGUAGCGGCCAAGCAUCGCGGGCUUUGGCCCCGCGGACCCAGGUUCGAAUCCUGGCCCGGCUA
rnacentral:tRNA from 1 species